rnacentral:rRNA from 1 species
CAGGUAGGAAUACCCGCUGAACUUAAGCAUAUCAA